UAUUUAUUCUUCUUGAAGAAUACAGAAAACGAAAAACUAUACUAAAAAGUAAAUUCGACCCGACAAUAACAGCAAACAAAAAACAAAGAAAUUGGGAAGAAAUCACUGCUAAAAUUAAUGCGAGAAGUACGGUGAAUAGGAGUGUACCAGAAAUACAAAAAAAGUUAGAGAAUCUAACUGUGAUGGCCAAGAAAGAGAUGUCCUGCUUUAGGAGGGAGUCCAAUGGAACUGGUGGUGGAUCAGCUCCAAAACCAAUUUCAAGCGAUGCUGCAAUGGUUGCCGACAUCAUUGGUAGGGACUCAUCCACAGUAAAGGGGAUUGCUGGUGGACAGGAGAGCGGUGUCAUAUUGGAAAGAUAUAAAGAGAAUAAACUCAAAGGGGAACUGCAAACAUUCAGAUUGAAGCCCACCAUUGAGAAGAGAAAAACUCAGGGAACCCAAUAGCUAUACAAUAUUUGGUGGCAUUCUGUUUUGCAUAGUUGUGAUUUCUAAAAGUGAACCUUUACAUUAUAUACCUGUCUUAAACUGUCUUUUGUUGCUUGUGAAAUACAUAUAAUACACAUUUUUGUAUUAACAGAUUGUUUUGUGGUGUUAUUUAUCAUAUGGCGUGACACCAUAUCAUUUGGUGUGACAUCAAGAAAUUAUGAAAAUAAAAAGGCUUUUGGGGUCUGUAUCAUACAAAUCUCAAUGGAACAGAUAGAAAAUAGGGUCAGCAAAAGUCACAAGCAUUUUCUUUCUUUUAUAUCAAGGUAUGUCAAAAUGAAUAUGACGUUUAUUGAAAGAUUGAGGACAUAUGCCUUACUCUGUGUAUUGAUGAAGAAAUAUACUGUAAAAUGUAAUACAUUUGCACAAGGAAAUGCUAGAUCUUGAUGAAGUAAUGAUAGAAGAUUAUAAUACAUUGCUCACAUUAAAAACAAAAUACCCC